AACGAACGCUGGCGGCGUGCCUAAUACAUGCAAGUCGAGCGAACCAAUAGGAGCUUGCUCCUGUUGGUUAGCGGCGGACGGGUGAGUAACACGUGGGCAACCUGCCUGUAAGACUGGGAUAACACCGGGAAACCGGUGCUAAUACCGGAUAAUCCUUUUCCUCUCAUGAGGGAAAGUUGAAAGUCGGUUUCGGCUGACACUUACAGAUGGGCCCGCGGCGCAUUAGCUAGUUGGUGAGGUAACGGCUCACCAAGGCGACGAUGAGUAGCCGCCCUGGGAGGGUGAUCGGCACCACCAGGACUGAGACACGGCCCAGACUCCUACGGGAGGCAGCCAUAGGGAAUCUUCCACAAUGGACGAAAGUCUGAUGGAGCAACGCCGCGUGAGCGAUGAAGGCCUUCGGGUCGUAAAGCUCUGUUGUUAGGGAAGAACAAGUACCGGAGUAACUGCCGGUACCUUGACGGUACCUAACCAGAAAGCCACGGCUAACUACGUGCCAGCAGCCGCAGUAAAAC
rnacentral:rRNA from 1 species